rnacentral:rRNA from 1 species
UACGUAGGGCGCAAGCGUUAUCCGGAAUUAUUGGGCGUAAAGAGCUCGUAGGCGGUUUGUCGCGUCUGCCGUGAAGUCCGGGCUCAACUCCGGAUCUGAGCUGGUGUCGGGCAGACUAGAGUGAUGUAGGGGAGACUGGAAUUCCGUGGUGUAGCGGUGAAAUGCGCAGAUAUCAGGAGGAACACCCGGUGGCGAAGGCGGGUCUCUGGGUAGUAACUGACGCUGAGGAACGAAAGCGUGGGUAGCGAACAGG